AGAAUGUUAUCACGGGAGACACACGGCGGGUGCUAAUGUCCGUCGUGAAGAGGGAAACAACCCAGACCGCCAGCUAAGGUCCCAAAGUCAUGGUUAAGUGGGAAACGAUGUGGGAAGGCCCAGACAGCCAGGAUGUUGGCUUAGAAGCAGCCAUCAUUUAAAGAAAGCGUAAUAGCUCACUGGUCGAGUCGGCCUGCGCGGAAGAUGUAACGGGGCUAAACCAUGCACCGAAGCUGCGGCAGCGACACCGUGUGUUGUUGGGUAGGGGAGCGUUCUGUAAGCCUGUGAAGGUGUGCUGUGAGGCAUGCUGGAGGUAUCAGAAGUGCGAAUGCUGACAUAAGUAACGAUAAAGCGGGUGAAAAGCCCGCUCGCCGGAAGACCAAGGGUUCCUGUCCAACGUUAAUCGGGGCAGGGUGAGUCGACCCCUAAGGCGAGGCCGAAAGGCGUAGUCGAUGGGAAACGGGUUAAUAUUCCCGUACUUGGUGUUACUGCGAAGGGGGGACGGAGAAGGCUAUGUUGGCCGGGCGACGGUUGUCCCGGUUUAAGCGUGUAGGUAUGUGUUCCAGGUAAAUCCGGUUCACUUUAACACUGAGGCGUGACGACGAGGCACUACGGUGCUGAAGCAACAAAUGCCCUGCUUCCAGGAAAAGCCUCUAAGCAUCAGGUAACAUCAAAUCGUACCCCAAACCGACACAGGUGGUCAGGUAGAGAAUACCAAGGCGCUUGAGAGAACUCGGGUGAAGGAACUAGGCAAAAUGGUGCCGUAACUUCGGGAGAAGGCACGCUGACACGUAGGUGAAGUGAUUUACUCACGGAGCUGAAGUCAGCCGAAGAUACCAGCUGGCUGCAACUGUUUAUUAAAAACACAGCACUGUGCAAACACGAAAGUGGACGUAUACGGUGUGACGCCUGCCCGGUGCCGGAAGGUUAAUUGAUGGGGUCAGCGCAAGCGAAGCUCCUGAUCGAAGCCCCGGUAAACGGCGGCCGUAACUAUAACGGUCCUAAGGUAGCGAAAUUCCUUGUCGGGUAAGUUCCGACCUGCACGAAUGGCGUAAUGAUGGCCAGGCUGUCUCCACCCGAGACUCAGUGAAAUUGAACUCGCUGUGAAGAUGCAGUGUACCCGCGGCAAGACGGAAAGACCCCGUGAACCUUUACUAUAGCUUGACACUGAACAUUGAGCCUUGAUGUGUAGGAUAGGUGGGAGGCUUUGAAGUGUGGACGCCAGUCUGCAUGGAGCCGACCUUGAAAUACCACCCUUUAAUGUUUGAUGUUCUAACGUGGACCCGUGAUCCGGGUUGCGGACAGUGUCUGGUGGGUAGUUUGACUGGGGCGGUCUCCUCCUAAAGAGUAACGGAGGAGCACGAAGGUUGGCUAAUCCUGGUCGGACAUCAGGAGGUUAGUGCAAUGGCAUAAGCCAGCUUGACUGCGAGCGUGACGGCGCGAGCAGGUGCGAAAGCAGGUCAUAGUGAUCCGGUGGUUCUGAAUGGAAGGGCCAUCGCUCAACGGAUAAAAGGUACUCCGGGGAUAACAGGCUGAUACCGCCCAAGAGUUCAUAUCGACGGCGGUGUUUGGCACCUCGAUGUCGGCUCAUCACAUCCUGGGGCUGAAGUAGGUCCCAAGGGUAUGGCUGUUCGCCAUUUAAAGUGGUACGCGAGCUGGGUUUAGAACGUCGUGAGACAGUUCGGUCCCUAUCUGCCGUGGGCGCUGGAGAACUGAGGGGGGCUGCUCCUAGUACGAGAGGACCGGAGUGGACGCAUCACUGGUGUUCGGGUUGUCAUGCCAAUGGCACUGCCCGGUAGCUAAAUGCGGAAGAGAUAAGUGCUGAAAGCAUCUAAGCACGAAACUUGCCCCGAGAUGAGUUCUCCCUGAGACUUUAGGUCUCCUGAAGGAACGUUGAAGACGACGACGUUGAUAGGCCGGGUGUGUAAGCGCAGCGAUGCGUUGAGCUAACCGGUACUAAUGAACCGUGAGGCUUAACCUUACAACGCCGAAG
rnacentral:rRNA from 1 species